rnacentral:misc_RNA from 1 species
UGGGACUUGUACUACAGCAGAUUGUUUCUGUGUUUGCUGAGGUUGAAGCAAUUGAAUGUUAGCCCUUGAGCAUGAUCGAGCUAUUUCGCCAGCUAAGGGAAUCACUGGCAAGUUGUCGCAGUUACAAAUCUCAACCAUGAAUCCAUCUGGAUCAUGGAAAAACAAUUGAUCUACAUAGAUUCCUCCUUCUUCAACCAGCUGCCUCGCGUACUUUAUCCCCAUUUCUGUUAGCUUCUUCUCCACCGCAUCUAUGCUCUCACACUGGAAAGAGAUGUGGUUAUCUUUGGGAUUGAUUUCAGUUUUCUUUGGCAUUUUCUCAGGAUCUUCCGAUUGAAGUAGAUGAAUCCCAAUUCCAUAGCUAAACAGCCAAGCGCCAUUAAAAUUGAAUGAUCCAGGCCUCCUUACAGGCACAAAACCAAGAACAUUCUUGUAAAAUUCAAUUGAUUUUUCAACUGAUCUGCAAACAAGGGAGAUAUGAUUCAGGGAUGUCAAAGCAAGUGGAUUUCCACUAUUCCCCUUCAUCUUUCGUUUUUUUUCUGCUCUAAACAACAAGCAAAUCGAAGAAUUAGCAAAUGAAUUAAGAGAUUUGAAAGAGGAUUAUCAAUAAUAAAGGAGAAAUUAGG